GGUUCGAUCUGGCUCAGUUGAACAUGGCAGGAUGCUGCUACACAUGCAAGUCGAACGGCAGCACGGACUUCGGUCUGGUGGCAGUGGCGAACAGGUGAAGUAAUGUAUCGGAACGUGCCUAGUAGCGGGGGAUAACUACGCCGGCGUAGCUAAUACCGCAUACGCCCUUCGGGGGAAAGCGGGGACCUUCGGGCCUCGCACUAUUGAAGCGGCCGAUAUCGGAUUAGCUAGUUGGUGGGGUAACGGCUCACCAAGGCGACGAUCCGUAGCUGGUUUGAGAGGACGACCAGCCACACUGGGACUGAGACACGGCCCAGACUCUACGGGAGGCAGCAGUGGGGAAUUUUGGACAAUGGAAACCCUGCAGUCCAGCCAUCCCGCGUGUGCGAUGAAGGCCUUCGGGUUGUAAAGCACUUUUUGGCAGGAAAGAAACGGCACGGGAUAAUACCCCGUGCAACUGACGGUACCUGCAGAAUAAGCACCGGCUAACUACGUGCCAGCAGCCGCGGUAAUACGUAGAGUGCAAGCGUUAAUCAGAUUACUGGGCGUAAAGCGUGCGCAGGCGGUUCGGAAGAAGAUGUGAAAUCCCCAGAGCUUAACUUUGGAACUGCAUUUUUAACUACCGAGCUAGAGUGUGUCAGAAAUUGGAAUUCGCGAUGUAGCAGUGAAAUGCGUAGAUAUGCAGGAGAAACACCGAUGGCGAAGGCAACCUCCUGGAACCACUGACGCUCAUGCACGAAAGCGUGGGAGCAAACAGGAUUAGAUACCUGGUAGUCCACGCCCUAAACGAUGUCAACUAGCUGUUGGGGCCUUCGGGCCUUGGUAGCGCAGCUAACGCGUGAAGUUGACCGCCUGGGAGUACGGUCGCAAGAUUAAAACUCAAGGAAUUGACGGGGACCCGCACAAGCGGUGGAUGAUGUGGAUUAAUUCGAUGCAACGCGAAAAACCUUACCUACCCUUGACAUGUCUGGAAUCCCGAAGAGAUUUGGGGAGUGCUCAUAAGAGAACCGGAACUGCUGCAUGGCUGUCGUCAGCUCGUGUCGUGAGAUGUUGGGUUAUGUCCCGCAACGAGCACGUGCCAUGGCUAGUUGCUACGAAAGGGCACUCUAAUGAGACUGCCGGUGACAAACCGGAGGAAGGUGGGGAUGACGUCAAGUCCUCACUGGCCCUUAUGGGUAGGGCUUCACACGUCAUACAAUGGUCGGGACAGAGGGUCGCCAACCCGCGAGGAAGGUGUCCAAGCCCGAUCGUAGUCCGGAUCGCAGUCUGCAACUCGACUGCGUGAAGUCGGAAUCGCUGUAGUAAUCAUGACGGAUCAGCAUGUCGCGGUGAAUACGUUCCAGGUCUUGUACACACCGCCCGUCACACCAUGGGAGUGGGUUUUACCAGAAGUAGUUAGCCUAACCGUAAGGGAGGGCGAUUACCACGGUAGGAUUCAUGACUGGGGUGAAGUCGUAACAAAGGUAA
rnacentral:rRNA from 1 species